AGAGUUUGAUCCUGGCUCAGGACGAACGCUGGCGGCGUGCUUAACACAUGCAAGUCGAACGGUGAACCUCCCUUCGGGGAGGGGAUCAGUGGCGAACGGGUGAGUAACACGUGGGCAACCUGCCCCUCGCUCUGGGAUAAGCCCGGGAAACCGGGUCUAAUACCGGAUACGACCUUGGACGACAUCGUCUCGAGGUGGAAAGAAUUUCGGCGAGGGAUGGGCCCGCGGCCUAUCAGCUUGUUGGUGGGGUAACGGCCCACCAAGGCGACGACGGGUAGCCGGCCUGAGAGGGCGACCGGCCACACUGGGACUGAGACACGGCCCAGACUCCUACGGGAGGCAGCAGUGGGGAAUAUUGCGCAAUGGGCGAAAGCCUGACGACGCAACGCCGCGUGGAGGAUGAAGACCUUCGGGUCGUAAACUCCUUUCGAUCGAGACGAAUGUUUUUCGGAUGAAUACUCCGGAAAAGUGACGGUACCGAGAGAAGAAGCCCCGGCUAACUCUGUGCCAGCAGCCGCGGUAAU
rnacentral:rRNA from 1 species